rnacentral:ncRNA from 2 species
UGAACUUAAGCAUAUCAAUAAGCGGA